AUUGAACGCUGGCGGCAGGCCUAACACAUGCAAGUCGAGCGAGCGGCGGACGGGUGAGUAAUGUAUGGGGACUGCCCGAUAGAGGGGGAUAACUACUGGAAACGGUGGCUAAUACCGCAUACUAUCGGAUAACCCAUAUGGGAUUAGAUAGUAGGGGGGGUAAAGGCGCACCUAGGCGACGAUCUCUAGCUGGUCCGAGAGGAUGAUCAGCCAGACGGGGACGUGGACACGGCCCAUACGCCUACGGAGGCAGCAGUGGGGAAUAGUGCACAAGGGGCGAUAGCCUGAUGCAGCCAUGCCGCGUGUAUGAAGAAGGCCUUAGGGUUGUAAAGUACUUUCAGCGGGGAGGCGUUACCCGCAGAAGAAGCACCGGCUAACUCCGUGCCAGCAGCCGCGGUAAUAC
rnacentral:rRNA from 1 species